UGGUAAGGUAACGGCUUACCAAGGCGACGAUCUCUAGCUGUUCUGAGAGGAAGAUCAGCCACACUGGGACUGAGACACGGCCCAGACUCCUACGGGAGGCAGCAGUGGGGAAUAUUGCACAAUGGGGGAAACCCUGAUGCAGCCAUGCCGCGUGUGUGAAGAAGGCCUUCGGGUUGUAAAGCACUUUCAGUUGUGAGGAAAAGUUAGUAGUUAAUACCUGCUAGCCGUGACGUUAACAACAGAAGAAGCACCGGCUAACUCCGUGCCAGCAGCCGCGGUAAUACGGAGGGUGCGAGCGUUAAUCGGAAUUACUGGGCGUAAAGCGCACGCAGGCGGUUUGUUAAGCUAGAUGUGAAAGCCCCGGGCUCAACCUGGGAUGGUCAUUUAGAACUGGCAGACUAGAGUCUUGGAGAGGGGAGUGGAAUUCCAGGUGUAGCGGUGAAAUGCGUAGAUAUCUGGAGG
rnacentral:rRNA from 1 species